AGCACCAGCAUCACCGCCUCAGCUCCGCCUCAGAUCAUCAGGCAUUAGAUUCUCUUAGAAGCCUGGGACCCUGGUACCAAAAAGGUUUGGGACCACUGCUCGACCUCAUGUUAUUUAUUGUACAAAACAACAGAAGACUAAAUCAAGCACAAGAGAAAAUGAUGCAGUCAAGAAAGGAGGUAAACAUAAGAGGUAAAAAAUCAUAACGAUGCGUUAUUGAAGAAACACAGGAGGAUUUCCUUGGAAACGGGUUGUGCUUGCAGACAGAGAAGAACCGGAGGGUAAAUGUGUACUCAGAAGGUCUCUAAAGAACUCAACAGUAGGUGUUUGGGAUCUCCACUGUAGUAGUGCAGUGUCUAAUGUCAGGAUAUGGAGUUCACUAUUUGUUGUUUGUCUUUAAACACAUAUUGAUAACUUUUGCUUCCCCAUAACUCUUUGCCUGUCUUCUAUCUGUCCCUUCAUAUGUGCUUUCCACCCUUUUCCUGCCCUUGUGCCAGGGAGGGCCGAUCUGUCCAAUUGUACCAAUGGACUCCUCGCCUUCCUUUGCAUCUCCAUGGGUUCAGGCAGUGGAAAAGAUCUGCAGGCAAUUGGAAGCCAGAAGGCAGUCAUAGUCCUUAUUCCUCACAAGUUGAUAUCCACCCCUGGGUUAUUUGCCCUUGGGUAGGGUCCCCAUUUAGCCUGGAGGAAGCAGUUAUUUGAUUCACAACAUUGCCAUCAAGACAAUGGGGAUGGGAGAGCCAGUUAUCGAGAGGAAUGUGAGAGAGCUACAUUCUUUAACCAGGCUUUCUUGUCUUUUACCAGUUGUUAAGAAAAAGAAAUGUCAGACCCAUGGUGGUGUCACUUGCCCUCAACAACAAACCAAGACUUAAUUGCAGUUCCAUCUCCUCCCAGGAACAUGACCUUAGGCCAGUCAGUCUGGUUUACCUACACUAAUGAGGUAAUCUGCCCUCUAAAGUCCCCUGCUACUCUUGCUCCCCAAAGAAAGGUGACCCUGCCUGAAAGUCUUUUUUUGCUAAUAACUUUCUUGUCCUGCCCAGUUUCUACCUACAAAAAGCUUUCAUUUUGUACAAGUUCUUAGAGCACUUUUCACUGGAAGAGAUGCUGUCCAAUUCAUGAAUCCUUCAGUUAAGCCAAUUAGAUCUUUAAAUUUACUUGGUUGAAUUUUCUUUAACAGAUUUGAUAGCAAAGAAAGUGUGAUUUGAAGUGAAGUUCUGACAGCAUUUGAGGACAAUGAGAAACACAGGCAUGGUGACUAAGAACUUUUUUGAAUGCUCUUUCUUGCUGUUUCUAAGGGCCAUUGGUGUCUGACCUCUGCUCUCUUCAUGGAGCUUCUGAUCUAAUUGGCUUUCCAGUCCAGGGAUUAGCAGAUCAGCUUGAGCUGGCAGAUGGUUUCAUCCAAACACCGAUCCCUAGCCUUUGGUUCAGUCUAAUUCCCCUCGUGUUUGGAAUCCCUUUCCCAAGUUCCAGUCUGCAAUCCUUAUUUAUUGGGGUUUGCUGGUUUCUUUUCCCCAGUUCCAGCCUGCAAUCCCUAUUUACUGGAGUCUACUGAUUUAAUCCACACUGAGAACUGCUGGUAGUAUGCACAUCCUUUUCUCUGUCAGUCCAUAGUAACAUUUCUUGGGUUACUGCUGGUGUAUUAAUGUGCAUAUUUGUCUUGUUUUGUGUAGAUGAAGGCUAGUACAUUUCUCAUGUUGAGAAUUGUUGGUGGUUACCAGCUGGAGUUGGACGGUGUCCGACUUGAAAACUGGAUUGGGUUCAGGAUCUAGCUGGGUCCAGUGGGAGGCCUCAGCUGCUGACCAACCAGCAAAUGAUCUCCUUAAGACCGGAAUGUCAAAAUGGAACAGAGAGAAUGACUAAAGAUUGUGAACUUGAAGUCAUGACCUGUUUUUUGUUUUUGUUUUCAUUUUGUAAUGAAAAACUGGAAUCUAGAGCACAAGUACAGGGUCAACUUUUCAAAGAAGGGAGCAUGGUUCUCUAGGCCCCCGGAAGUUAUGAAACACCUAAUUAUCCUUAUACAAACUUGAUGAUCACAUUGUUCAAAUGAGACUUUAAAAGAUAAAUCUUGUUUUUCCUGUUUAGAGUAUGCUAAUAUAUCCUCAGAUGAUUGAACUCACUCCUUCUCCCUCUCCUGCUAGUGUCUCAGGAAAGUUAAGUCCUACAACAACAUCAAGAUCUUUUUUUUCUUCUACCAGUGCAAUUUAAGUUCAGGCUUGCGAAAACCCAAUGUGCAAAUAGCUGUACUUAAUGCUGGAGAGAUUUCAAAGAAUGCAUUAGAUAUAAUCUGUUUCAAAGUCCUACAGUCCAAAGAGUAGAUAAACUGAACCCAGAGAUUUUUUUUUUUUUUUAACUUCCUAUAAAGUAAUGACUUUAAAAGAGACUGAUUUUUCAACAAGAUAUACUGAACCAUCAUUACCUCCAAGUGGCAGAGCCUUGGGCCCUGUUUAUCACAAUAAAGGUGAGAUAAAUGCUUGGAUAAAUACUAAAUGCUUAGUGUUAAUGUGUGUUUUAAUGGCUUACAUGCAUCUUCCCUUCAAUAAAUAAAACUGACAUAUUCAGUCUCAGAUAAAGAGAGUAAAACACCUUUACAAAAUUUUGCUUUUUUCACUUAUCUGUAUUAUAUAAGUAGGUUAAAAAAACACUGCGCUUGUUAUGCAAACAUAGUUUCAAAACAAAUCUAGUUUACUUUCCACCAGAUUGCUGUUCCUAGGUAGGUAGCUCUCUUGUAGGUAGGCCGGUUUAACAGAAGUAGGAACUCUCUCAAAUGUUUAAUUAUCUUGCCUAAGAACCCUGCCAAUCAUAGCUAGGAUUGAUACUCAAAAUUCUCUGCCUUUCCUGCCACACUAGUUUUUUUUUUUUUUUUUUCCUUUUACAUGUAGACAAAAGAAAAAGGGGUUCUAUGGAAAGUAAUCUCACAGGGUGAUCUGAUCAUAAAUUCCUAACUGGGCGGGUCAAGGUGGGUAGUCACGCCCAGGCCUACAACUUCAGUGAAAGGUUUUACGGCAGCCUUGCCCAUUGUUCUUGUGCAUCUAGAUUAACACACCUUUGAAAUACCAGAAUACCCCUCUUAGUGGGUAUUAACCCUCAAGAGAGCACAUAAUCUUAACUGUCCUGUAAUCCAAUCCUCACCUUGCUUUUUCCAACCUCCAUGUAAUUUUCCUUCUGUUCCCUCCUUAAUUUCAAAUGCAUGAAACAAGCUGCUAGACUUAUUCCGGGAGCAUUUGAGAUCUUGCUCCCCAGCAUUUGUCAUUAGUUUGCCUCAAAAAUAAACUUAUAAAAAAUUCUGUACAGGUUUGGACAUUUCUUAUGUUGACAAAUUCAUAAAGGUACUAACCCCUUCAAUACCCUGUUCUUUGAAAACCCCUGUUCUUUGAAAACUGGAAGAGAAGUUAUGUUUUGAACUUAGUUUAUUUUUAGAAUUAACUAUUACUAUUAUUCGUUAGUAUAAGUUGUUGUUGAUGCUGCCCAUCUAUUGGCCACAUUUUGAGCAGCAAAAUGCUAGGGUACAACUUGUUUCUUUGAGGAAUUACCCCAGUGCUGUAUAUAGGGAAACUGUGUAAAUUUUCUUCUAAUUAUCACAAGCUGCUAAAUCUGUAUAUUAGUUCUUUUGAUCCUGAGGAAAAUCAUUUUCAUUUUGUUGCCCAACACUUUCUAGUUAAAACUUUUCAAAGUCCUUCAUACAAUCAUCGGUUUCUUAGGAUUCCGCCUGUAUGAAUAUUACUAGAAUUAGGUUAUUCCAUUCCUGUAAAAUGGCCAAAAUUUACUUUUCCCUUUGUCUUACGUGCCGUGUUUCCUUUUAUUUCCAAACCUGGUUUCUAUAGAAGUCUUUGCCUAGGACCCUCAUUCCCAGUCCAACUGCAUCCUAUAGGUAAGUUCCUAUUUCUAGAUUUUGUUCGCAGUACAUUUAUUAGUAUAAAUGCAGUCAUAUCCAGUAGUGAGUUAUACAGCAGUCAGAAAACAAUGGUCUGUCAAAAUGCUGGUUUCCAUAGGAUCACAUAUAUUCGGGGGGCAAUUUUUGGCUCUCGUUGUAUAUAAUGAUUACUGAUCUGCUAGAGCCUCCCUAGCUUAUUUCUGCCUUACCUUCUUUGGGUUAUAUAUUAAUAUAACUAAGGAGGAACACAUACUCAGUUCAAGUUUGGAUAUAUUAAUAAAAUGUGACACAUUUUCUAUAUUUAGAAUAAUAUCUCUUGAGCAU